rnacentral:misc_RNA from 1 species
AAGUCGUAACAAGGUUUCCGUAGGUGAACCUGCGGAAGGAUCAUUACAGAAUAAACCUGGCUAGUUGUUGCUGGCUCUCUAGGGAGCAUGUGCACGCUGGUCACUUUUAUCUUACCACCUGUGAACCACUUGUAGAUCUGGAGGCAUUUUCACGGGGUCGACUCUUCCUGGCCUUCAGGUCUAUGUCUUUACAUCUACUCCAUAGAAUGUAAACGAAAGAAACAAUGGCAGCUUUAUUGCAGCCUAUAAAACUUGUACAACUUUCAGCAACGGAUCUCUUGGCUCUC